rnacentral:tRNA from 1 species
GGUGUCCCAACAGUCGUUUAGACUGCCCUCACACGGCGGAGGUCCGGGGUUCGAAUCCCCGCGGGCCCACCA